CCCCACGAACCGUCGUCCGGAGAAGCUCCGUGAUUCGCUCGAGAAGCUUGAGGAGCUGUUACAGACCAACUCAGUUGUUCACUCCAGAUGGAAGAGCAAGCAUUGCUGCCAGCUCAUGCUGAGCAGUGGGGUACU